ACGUUUGUCCCGCUGGAGAAAUGGUUCCGUUGAAAUAACACCCGCAGCCCUGCCCCAGCUGUGUGUCCCGGGAAACCCAGUGCAUAUUCCAGUGCAACCACCACGGCUCUGUGCCUUUUCUAUAUGCGUUUGUGGCCAAUAUAUGGGAACUCCUGAGGAAGAGCGCAGUGUGGAGGAUGUGACUGAGCUCUGCGGUGCUGGGGUAAGAGGAAAGCUCUGCAGCGAACCGGAGGAGCUCUCGUUUAAUGUAACGCUGACAUCGCCUGCUGAAAUUUUAAUGCUCUGAGGUGUUCCUUAGGUCAAAGCUGAGUCUGCUUAGCUCUGCGCUCAGGGAUGAGAAUGUAGCAGAGAAGGAAAGAAAACCUUCGUCCUUUUGCAUUUCUGAGCAAAGGUCCAAUACAGACAGCGAUGUGUUUUCACAGCGUUUGAUGAUCUGGGCUUAAUAUUCGGUCAUUUAUCACGGCAGCAGAAUAAAGUACUGUG
rnacentral:lncRNA from 7 species